rnacentral:rRNA from 1 species
AGUGAACGCUGGCGGUAGGCCUAACACAUGCAAGUCGAACGGCAGCACAGUAAGAGCUUGCUCUUACGGGUGGCGAGUGGCGGACGGGGGAGGAAUACAGCGGAAUCUACUUUUUCGUGGGGGAUAACGGAGGGAAACUUACGCUAAUACCGCAUACGACCUACGGGUGAAAGCAGGGGAUCUUCGGACCUUGCGCGAUUGAAUGAGCCGAUGUCGGAUUAGCUAGUUGGCGGGGUAAAGGCCCACCAAGGCGACGAUCCGUAGCUGGUCUGAGAGGAUGAUCAGCCACACUGGAACUGAGACACGGUCCAGACUCCUACGGGAGGCAGCAGUGGGGAAUAUUGGACAAUGGGCGCAAGCCUGAUCCAGCCAUACCGCGUGGGUGAAGAAGGCCUUCGGGUUGUAAAGCCCUUUUGUUGGGAAAGAAAAGCAGCAGGUUAAUACCCCGCUGUUCUGACGGUACCCAAAGAAUAAGCACCGGCUAACUUCGUG